CCUGAGAAACCCAAAAGAUCGAAUGGGGAGAUUCAUCGUCAGCUCAUUUUGUAUAUGUAUAAGUUAUGAUGCGGGUUACUACUUGUAGUAUUGCCUGCACAUUCUUGUAUAUUUAGUUGCAAGAUGUUGUCGGCGUGCACUUCUCCCCUAGUAGGACGUCGCGACCUGUUGGGUGUCGGUCUACGGCCCGAGUGAUAGCCUUUAAUGUAAUUUAAAAAACAUUGAAGAUCCUUGGUGUUUUCUGACCGGCUACUUGGCAGUAUUCGUACGGUAUUUAGCCGCUAAAUUUAUUAAGCGUCCAUAUCCGUCACAAGCGAGGCUAAUUUACUGAUAGUACGGACCUAGUGCCGUCGUUGGUAUUGGCCAGCUGUUGGUUGAUGGUAUUCUAGGACUGGCUAAAAUUAAUUACCGGUCGGCGAUGCUACUGCUUUGGGUACUUUCAG
rnacentral:rRNA from 1 species